rnacentral:tRNA from 13 species
GGGCUCAACCGGGAUUUGAACACGGGACCUCUCACACCCGAAGCCAGAAUCAUACCACUAGACCAUCGAGCC